rnacentral:rRNA from 1 species
GAUGAACGCUGGCGGCGUGCCUAAUACAUGCAAGUCGAGCGAACAGAUGAGGAGCUUGCUCCUCUGACGUUAGCGGCGGACGGGUGAGUAACACGUGGAUAACCUACCUAUAAGACUGGGAUAACUUCGGGAAACCGGAGCUAAUACCGGAUAAUAUAUUGAACCGCAUGGUUCAAUAGUGAAAGACGGUUUUGCUGUCACUUAUAGAUGGAUCCGCGCCGCAUUAGCUAGUUGGUAAGGUAACGGCUUACCAAGGCAACGAUGCGUAGCCGACCUGAGAGGGUGAUCGGCCACACUGGAACUGAGACACGGUCCAGACUCCUACGGGAGGCAGCAGUAGGGAUCUUCCGCAAUGGGCGAAAGCCUGACGGAGCAACGCCGCGUGAGUGAUGAAGGUCUUCGGAUCGUAAAACUCUGUUAUUAGGGAAGAACAAAUGUGUAAGUAACUAUGCACGUCUUGACGGUACCUAAUCAGAAAGCCACGGCUAACUACGUG